GCAUAUUUGGACCUUUGCUAAUCUUAUGAGGCCAAUUUUGUAUGAAACACGUGUAAUAUUCUGUUUUACUAAUGUUUUUGCUAAGCGAACGUAACUGCACAGUAAAAGCUGAAAGGCGGUCAAAUUCAUACACGCUACGCACUUAAUCGAUGCUUUCUUUCAUAGGCCUAACAUUUGAAUGAUUUCCGUGCAAUAUUUCCCCAGAUUCCCUCGAAUGAAUCGUCAACGCGUUCGCUGUAAUAACAGAGCAAUUUCACCUCUCUUUUGUGCUACGCUUUUCAAUGUCAAAGCCGUAAAGUCUGAGGGGAGUGAACAAAAGACAAAAGGAAAAAAGAAAAAGGAAAGGCAGGUGAAAAUACAUAGGUUGUCGUCCAAGUGUCCAAUUCGCCACUGCUUCGAAACAAAUUGGCCUCAAGUACUUGGAAACAGCGAAACAGUUUUCUAUUUGCGUUUGUGCUUUUUUCAAUUCGAAGUUUCUCAGAAUAAGAACGUUGACGAUUUGUAAGGAGUACCGUAUAGAAUCUUGGUCAUUGUUGGUUACUUAGCCUAGAAAUGGAUAACUGGUGUGUUUGCUGAUCAAGAAAAGACGAGAUGGCUUCGGUGUAACUGAAUUUAUUUUCAGUUUCACGUCUGGAUUCCCGGGGAAAUAAAAGACCAUUGCAUCAGCUUUAUUUAAUCACAUCAAUGCCGCAUGACUUCAAAUGAGCUGGAGUGUUAUCCAGCUGCAUAUAUAUUCAUGUUAAACGGGGGAAACGAUACAUCUGCUACUGCGGACACAUUUUGGCACCGAUUCCUGUUCUGUUUCCGUGAGGAUGUCGCUCCGUCGGCGGAUGUUGUCCCUCUUCUCUUUUUGAAAAUGUUGACGCGUCGAGGCCGAGUCUUUCCGCGGCGGGCGGCGGGUGCCGAUGCGACGGCGGCCCAUAAUGACAGUCAUCAAUGUCAAUGUAUCAAACAUCGCAAACAGAACAUUCCAGUUUCCCCUCCUUUUCAUCGUGGUAAUCUCAUCAAUCUAAACGGUACAAGUUCCAGUUCCUAUUUGAACUGCACCUUUUACAGUACAAUGUCUUUCUAAACUACACACAACACUUUGUUUUAAAAAGCUUUCCUUAUUAUUUUUGAUUGGAUUAUGGACAAAAAUAGGCAGGGCUUUGAAUUUGAUUGAUAGAUAUUUCAUCUGCCAGGCAAUGUUGAUUUUUCUUGACAGGACAACAGGGGGUGGUGUUUCAACAUCAGACAUAUGGAGUAUGGAAUAUACACAUUGGCAUAACAGGUAAAGUAUUUUAACUUUCGACCUUUAUUCGUACAAAUAUUUGUUUUGUAUUUCCAGCGUUUUAUAGGCUGAGCUGGAAAUGACAGUACAAUAUCUUAAAAUGAUACAAGUGGAAACAAGCAUACAAAGUCUUUGUUUGAACGUCGUAAAUUGUCGAGCGACUGGCUAGCGACUUUAAAAUGAAUUAUGUAAUAUCGAUUGAGCAUUCGCAGUCGGGAAAAUGUUUAUUAUGGGAAUUAU